AGUGCUACCAGACUAUUUGUUGUUUUUUAAGUUUUUCCAGUUACAGACUAACUCAGCUUCCCCUCUGAAUCUUCAGAUAAAAUCUCUCACAAGCUUAUCAGUUUUGUUGCAGGAACUGAAGCUGAACUGCAAUAAAAUUAAUGAGGCCUCCCCUCCCUCUGCCUUCUCGACAGAAAACAACUUUAUAGUGUGCAGCAGCAUAGAAAUGGACAUCAAGCAAAUCAUCACCUGUGAGAGAGCAUUCAAAGAGGUGACAGACGGUAUCGCCAAGCAAGGAGGCUAAUGUGUGAGCUCAACUGAGCUUUAGCGUGGAAGGUGUGUGGAGACAGAACUCAAACUCAAAUGGGUUUUAAUACAAUUCAGAAAGAGUACCUUGAAGUCAAUACUAUGUUAUUCAAAAACAAAAUGGAACUGUGUGAACUCUCCACUUAGAAUACCAGCAGAAGGAACAAUUUAUGUUUAACCAUUCAAGAAAUUGGUAGCUGCAUCUGGAUAAGACACAAGGUAAAUUCUGAACUAUUGGAUCUGAUUUACACCGCUGACAGGAUUAAGCAGGUUAUAUUCAUGAAAACAACAGAAGAAACUGAUUAACCAACUGUACAGGGGAAACAGUUGAACUGACUAAACAAAAAUAGGCUUGUUAAAUGAACAAACAAGCUAAAAAAAUAGAGAAAUAGUCUAGCAGAAUCUCUCACAGUCAUUACCACUUUUACAGCUUCACCAGUGCUCUGAGCUAUAAAAGUGGACCUACUCCUGACAUCUUAACUACUAAAUUGUACAACUUGGCAACAGGAGUUGCCAGUGACUCUGUACUACAACUCCUAUUUCUGACUACAACUCCAGAUGCAGCCCUCAGCUUGCCUAGAUCCUGCCCCACAUGGCUCAGGGCUCCCCGCCCAGCCCACUCCUGCUCAGAACCCACUCCCCAAGUCUGCUUCCCAGCAGCCCCCUCCCACACACUGAACCCCUAAUUUUUGGCCCCACCCGAGCCUAGUGGGACCCAGAAAAUCUACUAGCCUGUGCCUGCGCCCACCCUCCCUUCCCUCCCCCCCAAGCAUGUUGGGAAUGUCUUUCUCCUCAGUUGGGGCCAAUGAGGGUUUUUUUGCUUCUCACUUUUGUGUGGUCCCCUAACUGAUUUUUCUGUGGGUCAGCAGCCCCCUUUCCAAAAAAGGUUCCCCACCCCUAUUUUAAUUGAUGGUGAAAUGACAACAUAACAUUUUGAGAAAAAAAGGUCUAGUAUAGGCAAGAGUUCUAGUAAGUGGCAAAUGCAUAAUAUGAUGACUUCAAAAGAGCUGAGAGAGUGAAUGUAGGUUAAUGGACAAUAGAUAUUGAGGGAUUUUUAGCUGGCCUAUUUCCAAUUUUUUUUAAUGUUAUUUAACUGCA